ACGCUGGCGGCGUGCCUAAUACAUGCAAGUCGAACGGAGUUAGAGACUUCGGUUUUUAACUUAGUGGCGAACGGGUGAGUAACGCGUGAGCAACCUGACUCAAAGAGGGGGACAACAGCUGGAAACGGCUGCUAAUACCGCAUAAGACCACAAGGAGGCAUCUUCAAGGGGUCAAAGAAAUUCGCUUUGAGAGGGGCUCGCGUCCCAUUAGAUAGUUGGUGAGGUAACGGCCCACCAAGUCCGCGAUGGGUAGCCGAGCUGAGAGGCUGAUCGGCCACACUGGAACUGAGACACGGUCCAGACUCCUACGGGAGGCAGCAGUAGGGAAUAUUGGGCAAUGGGCGCAAGCCUGAACCCCAGCAACGCCGCGUGAGGGAAGAAGGUUUUCGGAUUGUAAACCUCUGUCCUAUGUGACGAAGGAAGUGACGGUAGCAUAGGAGGAAGCCCCGGCUAACUACGUGCCAGCCGCUGC
rnacentral:rRNA from 1 species